CCUUCAUUAGUAUCACCUGUGCUGAAUUAACCAGCCACCUCAGUACAUUCACACAGUAGCCUGUUGUUCACGUGCCUCAGACUGUACUGGUCUUUUGCUCGGCCGUCCUCUCUUCGACCUUUGAGUUGUUUCAUGUUCCUGCUCUUUUGCGUGCUCGCCACCUGCCUGUUUGCCACGCCGCCUGAUUACCUGCACGUGACCUCUGACUGGAUAAAGGAUUCAGAUUUUAUUCUGUCUGCCUCUUGUGUGUCCUGCAUACUUAAGACUGAGGAGAGGCGAGCAGGGUGAGCUGGCAACAAACUAACAAACAGGAGGAGAAGUUAGAAACAUCUGAGAGACAAAAUCACUGAAGGAUGUGCAACAGUCUGCUGAUCACUGACAGGAAACUCAGCAUUAAUACAAGAUGUAAAAUUCAUCAGCAAGAACUUAACUUGGGACGUUUGACCUUUCAGAACUGGCCUCAUGCUCUGGUUUUGAUUUCAGAGCUCACAAAAACACAUUUCACUCAUUUUUUAUCAUCAGUCAUGUUUUUGUUUUCUGCUGUACAACAAGACAGCGAGUGUUUAUCAGUGUUGUUAUCAUCACUGCAGCUGUAUUUAUAAUAAACUCAGAUCAUUUACAGCAACUAGUUUAAGUCAUGUCAG